rnacentral:rRNA from 1 species
AUGUAUUAUUGGGUCAUUUGUGUAGGGUUUAACAUGCCCAUGGGAGUCAAUCACAAAUUUUUCCCUUGCUCUCCUAAAUCCCCUAUUACUCACAAAUUUUCAUGUUCAGUAUGUGUUUUAGAUUCAUUUCUUGAUCUAUUUCCCUGCUCGCAUGUAUAUCAUCUAUCGCACUUCAGUUUCACCUUCUUUGACUGCUACACUGAACGCAUGUAUAUCACACUGGAGUACUUAAGAUUCAUGUAUUUAAAUAUGUGUGGUCUGGUUAUGUGUAUCACAUUUUACCAUUUGAGUUUCACAUUUGAUUCCUUUCAUUUUCAGUGUGAUACAGAAAUGGUUGGGGCUUUCCAAUUUGGUGCUGAAAUUUAA